rnacentral:rRNA from 1 species
UACGUAGGGGGCAAGCGUUGUCCGGAUUUAUUGGCGUAAAGAGGCGUGUAGGCGGCCAGGUAGGUCAGCUGUGAAAACUCGGAGGCCUCAACCUGACGACGCCGGUUGAAACCAUCGUGGCUAGAGUCCGGAAGAGGAGAGUGGAAUUCCGUGGAUGUAGCGGUGAAAUGCGCAGAUAUCAGGAAGAACACCCCGUGGCUAAGGCGGCUCUCUAGUACGGUACUGACGCUGAGACGCGAAAGCGUGGGGAGCGAACAGG